rnacentral:rRNA from 1 species
GAUGAACGCUAGCGAUAGGCUUAACACAUGCCAGUCGAGGGGCAGCGAGGGUAGCAAUACCUGUCGGCGACCGGCGCACGGGUGAGUAACGCGUAUGUAACCUGCCCGCAACAGGGGGAUAACCCGGCGAAAGUCGGACUAAUACCGCAUAAAACAGGGGUCCCGCAUGGGAAUAUUUGUUAAAGAUUUAUCGGUUGCGGAUGGGCAUGCGUACCAUUAGGUAGUUGGUGAGGUAACGGCUCACCAAGCCUUCGAUGGUUAGGGGUUCUGAGAGGAAGGUCCCCCACACUGGUACUGAGACACGGACCAGACUCCUACGGGAGGCAGCAGUGAGGAAUAUUGGUCAAUGGGCGAGAGCCUGAACCAGCCAAGUCGCGUGAAGGAGGACUGCCCUAUGGGUUGUAAACUUCUUUUACAAGGGAAUAAAAUGAGAUACGUGUAUUUUAUUGCAUGUACCUUGGGAAUAAGCAUCGGCUAACUCCGUG